ACCCUGAUCCAGCAAUGCCGCGUGAGUGAAGAAGGCCUUCGGGUUGUAAAGCUCUUUUGUCAGGGAAGAAACGGUGCGGGCUAAUAUCUCGUGCUAAUGACGGUACCUGAAGAAUAAGCACCGGCUAACUACGUGCCAGCAGCCGCGGUAAUACGUAGGGUGCAAGCGUUAAUCGGAAUUACUGGGCGUAAAGCGUGCGCAGGCGGUUUUGUAAGACUGUCGUGAAAUCCCCGGGCUCAACCUGGGAAUGGCGAUGGUGACUGCAAGGCUAGAGUUUGGCAGAGGGGGGUAGAAUUCCACGUGUAGCAGUGAAAUGCGUAGAUAUGUGGAGGAACACCGAUGGCGAAGGCAGCCCCCUGGGUCAAAACUGACGCUCAUGCACGAAAGCGUGGGGAGCAAACAGGAUUAGAUACCCUGGUAGUCCACGCCCUAAACGAUGUCUACUAGUUGUCGGGUUUUAAUUAACUUGGUAACGCAGCUAACGCGUGAAGUAGACCGCCUGGGGAGUACGGUCGCAAGAUUAAAACUCAAAGGAAUUGACGGGGACCCGCACAAGCGGUGGAUGAUGUGGAUUAAUUCGAUGCAACGCGAAAAACCUUACCUACCCUUGACAUGGAUGGAAUCCUGGAGAGA
rnacentral:rRNA from 1 species